ACGUAGGAGGCAAACGUUAUCCGGAUUUACUGGGCGUAAAGCGCGUGUAGGUGGUUUGGUAAGUAGAGCGUGAAAGCUCCUGGCACAACUGGGAGCGGCCGUUCUAAACUGCCGGACUAGAGGAUGGUAGAGGGAGGUGGAAUUCCGGGUGUAGCGGUGGAAUGCGCAGUGAUCCGGAGGAACACCAGUGGCGAGAGCGGCCUCCGGGACCACUCCUGACACUCGGACGCGAAAGCGAGUAUAGGAAACGG
rnacentral:rRNA from 1 species